rnacentral:rRNA from 1 species
GACGAACGCUGGCGGCGUGCCUAAUACAUGCAAGUAGAACGCACAGUUUAUACCGUAGCUUGCUACACCAUAAACUGUGAGUUGCGAACGGGUGAGUAACGCGUAGGUAACCUGCCUGGUAGCGGGGGAUAACUAUUGGAAACGAUAGCUAAUACCGCAUCAUAUUAAUUAUUGCAUGAUAAUUGAUUGAAAGAUGCAAUUGCAUCACUACCAGAUGGACCUGCGUUGUAUUAGCUAGUAGGUGAGGUAACGGCUCACCUAGGCGACGAUACAUAGCCGACCUGAGAGGGUGAUCGGCAACACUGGGACUGAGACACGGCCCAGACUCCUACGGGAGGCAGCAGUAGGGAAUCUUCGGCAAUGGACGAAAGUCUGACCGAGCAACGCCGCGUGAGUGAAGAAGGUUUUCGGAUCGUAAAGCUCUGUUGUAAGAGAAGAACGGGUGUGAGAGUGGAAAGUUCACACUGUGACGGUAUCUUACCAGAAAGGGACGGCUAACUACGUG